UCAGUAAAAUUGGAAGUCACCUAUAGGCCGGGCCAUCGCCUAAUAGGUAGGACCGCGGAAUAUGUGGAGUAUAGGUGAUUUCGCGUAUAUGAUCGUAUACAUCACACCUAUAGGCGAUCUGUUGUAUACAGCAUGGCCUAUAGGCCUGUAGGCUAUAGGUUACCAUGUGUACGCAUGCAAAACUGUGAGAGCCUAAUAGUCCGUUGUAUAAAGGUAUGCCUUUAUGUAGGCCACUCGUGUAUACAGUGUUCGGGGCAAAGCUGCA
rnacentral:lncRNA from 1 species